AACACUGUUAACCUGCGGUACCUGCGGAAGGAUCAUUAGAAAAAUCAAGUCGAGUGCCGCAAGGCGCAAAGGCUUUUUCUAUACCACACACAACUGUGCACGCCUUUGGGCAUUUAAACUAGUUAACUGUAAUGAAUGUAUAAACAAAACAAAAUACAACUUUCAGCAACGGAUCU
rnacentral:misc_RNA from 1 species